rnacentral:piRNA from 1 species
UGUAUUAGGGUGGAAAUUGUCAAGCAGC